GACGAACGCUGGCGGCGUGCCUAAUACAUGCAAGUCGAGCGGACGAAUCGAAAGCUUGCUUUUGUUUCGUUAGCGGCGGACGGGUGAGUAACACGUGGGCAACCUGCCCUGUAGACGGGGAUAACACCGAGAAAUCGGUGCUAAUACCGGAUAACACGAAAUGUCGCAUGAUGUUUUGUUGAAAGACGGCGCAAGCUGUCGCUAUAGGAGGGGCCCGCGGCGCAUUAGCUAGUGGGUGAGGUAACGGCUCACCAAGGCGACGAUGCGUAGCCGACCUGAGAGGGUGAUCGGCCACACUGGGACUGAGACACGGCCCAGACUCCUACGGGAGGCAGCAGUAGGGAAUCUUCCGCAAUGGACGAAAGUCUGACGGAGCAACGCCGCGUGAGCGAAGAAGGCCUUCGGGUCGUAAAGCUCUGUUGUUAGGGAAGAACAAGUAACGCAGUAACUGGCGUUACCGUGACGGUACCUAACGAGAAAGCCACGGCUAACUACGUG
rnacentral:rRNA from 1 species